GCGUUGUUCGGAAUCACUGGGCGUAAAGGGUGCGUAGGCGGCGCGAAAAGUCAGAUGUGAAAUCCCGGGGCUCAACCCCGGAAAGGCAUCCGAUACUCUCGCGCUCGAGGACUGGAGGGGAGUCUGGAAUUCACGGUGUAGCAGUGAAAUGCGUAGAUAUCGUGAGGAACACUAUUGGCGAAGGCGAGACUCUGGACAGUUCCUGACGCUGAGGCACGAAGGCCAG
rnacentral:rRNA from 1 species